rnacentral:rRNA from 1 species
UGAGGAAUAUUGGACAAUGGGCGCAAGCCUGAUCCAGCCAUGCCGCGUGCAGGAAGAAGCAUCUAUGGUGUGUAAACUGCUUUUGUACGGGAAGAAACACUCCUUCGUGAAGGAGCUUGACGGUACCGUAAGAAUAAGGAUCGGCUAACCCCGUGCCAGCAGCCGCGGUAAUACGGGGGAUCCAAGCGUUAUCCGGAAUCAUUGGGUUUAAAGGGUCCGUAGGCGGUUUAGUAAGUCAGUGGUGAAGGCCCAUCGCUCAACGAUGGAACGGCCAUUGAUACUGCUAGACUUGAAUUAUUAGGAAGUAGCUAGAAUAUGUAGUGUGGCGGUGAAAUGCUUAGCUAUUACAUGGAAUACCAAUUGCGAAGGCAGGUUACUACUAAUGGAUUGACGCUGAUGGACAAAGGCGUGGGGAGCGAACA